rnacentral:tRNA from 1 species
CACUGUAAAGCUACCUAGCAUUAACCUUUUAAGUUAAAGAUUGAGAGCAUCUCCUCUCUACAGUGA